rnacentral:rRNA from 1 species
UACGUAGGGAGCAAGCGUUGUCCGGAAUCAUUGGGCGUAAAGCGCGCGUAGGCGGCCCUGUAAGUCCGCUGUGAAAGUCAAAGGCUCAACCUUUGAAAGCCGGUGGAUACUGCAGGGCUAGAGUCCGGAAGAGGCGAGUGGAAUUCCUGGUGUAGCGGUGGAAUGCGCAGAUAUCAGGAGGAACACCCGUGGCGAAAGCGGCUCUCUGGGACGGUACUGACGCUGAGACGCGAAAGCGUGGGGAGCAAACAGG